GCGGGCGUGGCGGAAUUGGUAGACGCGCUGGAUUUAGGUUCCAGUGCCGCAAGGUGUGGGGGUUCGAGUCCCUCCGCCCGCACCA
rnacentral:tRNA from 1 species